rnacentral:rRNA from 1 species
GACGAACGCUGGCGGCGUGCCUAAUACAUGCAAGUCGAACGCUGAAGGAGGAGCUUGCUUCUCUGGAUGAGUUGCGAACGGGUGAGUAACGCGUAGGUAACCUGCCUGGUAGCGGGGGAUAACUAUUGGAAACGAUAGCUAAUACCGCAUAAGAGUAGAUGUUGCAUGACAUUUGCUUAAAAGGUGCAAUUGCAUCACUACCAGAUGGACCUGCGUUGUAUUAGCUAGUUGGUGGGGUAACGGCUCACCAAGGCGACGAUACAUAGCCGACCUGAGAGGGUGAUCGGCCACACUGGGACUGAGACACGGCCCAGACUCCUACGGGAGGCAGCAGUAGGGAAUCUUCGGCAAUGGACGGAAGUCUGACCGAGCAACGCCGCGUGAGUGAAGAAGGUUUUCGGAUCGUAAAGCUCUGUUGUAAGAGAAGAACGAGUGUGAGAGUGGAAAGUUCACACUGUGACGGUAGCUUGCCAGAAAGGGACGGCUAACUACGUG